AGGGGGUUAGUUUAUCACAGAACAUUUAAUUUGCAUUUAAACAGAACACUAGUACCUCCUU
rnacentral:tRNA from 1 species